rnacentral:lncRNA from 1 species
GCCAUUGAGUUAAUCUGUCCCAUUGCUGCUGCUGAUUCCUAUGCUAAUGUUAGGACCAAUGUGCCCAGGUUUUCUUUGGGACUAGGGACCAGCACUUCUCCAGGAACCUUCAGAGCUUCUAGUGCCAGACUGAGACUAAGUGCUGAGUGUUCCAGCCUCAAGGACAGAGUACUUACCAGGUUCUCAGCUUCCAGGUUCAAGAACCAGAUCUGAAAUGGACACCUAGUAGCUUAUCACAGCAAGGAGCUACCUGGAGCAGGUUGCUGGCUACAGGACUUGUCCAGGCUGCCCAGUUUGGGAAGGGCCAGCGUGGGAUAACGGUGCGUGGAGAGGGGCUUCCUGGACUCAGGGAGAGCAGAGUAGAGGACCUACCUGCUGCAGACAAUAGAGAUGGCCACCAGAGACACAACAAAUACGACUCCAGCUGCUGCCGAGCCAGCAAUCAGGGGUAGCUGCUCUCUCAGCUCCGACUUGUAAUCAUCUAGGUGAGAAAGAAGAGGAUUAGAGUCCUCCCACGUGCCCCGUGCACGAGCUGGACUCGAUGCACAACACCAAGGACACCAGAUAUAUGCAUCCGCGUGGACCCCAGCUUCCAAUGCUUCAGAGUGGGGAACAGUCACAGAAACAAAACAUCAGGCAUAACUCUGGGAGCUCAUGAUGGUGACUAUCGUCUCCCUGGAGAUGGUGACUCUGAACCUUCACCCCCCCCCCCCAGCUCUGAAGGUUUCCCCAAGUCCUGUCUGCCCUGUUAAGAGUAAGUCCGAUGGAGGGGAAAUGAAAGCCGUUGCUGAAAGAGCUUAAGCUGUGGAAAUGCAGCUUGUCAACAGACUCAUUGAGCAGAUUUUUACAGUUUAUCUGUAGUCAGCCAGCUCUGCAGCAGGAGCUGUGGAGGAUGAAGAGAUGCCAGAGAAAUCGCCAAGCAUUUCGAGAUCCCACUUGACAAGUAAAGGACUGAGGUUUGUGCCAAGUGUUAAAACCAUGCUGCAUUACGGGUAGGGUGGAACACCCAAGGGUCACAGAGGUGGACAGAGAUGCCACAAUCUCUGGUGUUGCUGGUGUACCGUUUGUGAUCUUGGAGGAAUUAUUUCACCCUUCUGAUUCUCAGCCCUCUUGCCCGUUAAUAAAAGGCCAAACCAUG